UACGAAGGGGACUAGCGUUGUUCGGAAUCACUGGGCGUAAAGCGCACGUAGGCGGUUUUGUAAGUCAGGGGUGAAAUCCCGGGGCUCAACCUCGGAACUGCCUUUGAUACUGCGAAUCUUGAGUCCGAUAGAGGUGGGUGGAAUUCCUAGUGUAGAGGUGAAAUUCGUAGAUAUUAGGAAGAACACCAGUGGCGAAGGCGGCCCACUGGAUCGGUACUGACGCUGAGGUGCGAAAGCGUGGGGAGCAAACAGG
rnacentral:rRNA from 1 species